CAGCAGCCGCGGUAAUUCGGAGGAUGCAAGCGUUAUCCGGAUUCAUUGGGUUUAAAGGGUGCGCAGGCGGAAUGAUAAGUCAGUGGUGAAAUCCUACGGCUCAACCGUAGAACUGCCAUUGAUACUGUCGUUCUUGAGUACACUUGAAGUGGGCGGAAUGUGUCAUGUAGCGGUGAAAUGCUUAGAUAUGACAAGGAACACCGAUCGCGAAGGCAGCUCACUAAAGUGUUACUGACGCUCAGGCACGAAAGCGUGGGGAUCAAACAGGAUUAGAUACCCUGGUAGUCCACGCCGUAAACGAUGAAUGCUAGACGUUGGGGGGCUUAGCUCUUCAGUGUCGCAGCUAACGCAUUAAGCAUUCCGCCUGGGGAGUACGGCCGCAAGGUUAAAACUCAAAGGAAUUGACGG
rnacentral:rRNA from 1 species